AAGUGGAGACAGAAAUAAAAGAGAAAAUAUCAUAGUAAUAAGUGGAUCCUUGUCAGCAACAAAAACUGAGUUCACAUAUCAUAUAUCCGCACACGCUCAGUGGCAAAACAGAGAACCACUAGCAGCCAUUAAACCUUAUAAAUACUAUACAUUUGUGCAUUGGCAUUGCUUUUUUAUAAGCAAACGCUGCGUUUGGGUUCUUCUGCUUCUCUCUGUGUGGUCUUGGUUUGAUUCAACCAAGAUCAUCAUCAUCAUAUCAGCUAUGGCCGCCACCUUCUCUGUAGUUUUAAGACUGCUGCUGAUUUUCUUGUUUAUCUCUACUUUUUCAGUGGUUCAAAUGGAAGGCCAUGGCAUUGGGAUAAACUAUGGGCAGAUAGCUAACAAUCUUCCACCUCCAACUCGGGUAUCUUAUCUGCUGCAAUCUCUCAACAUUUCAAGGGUAAAACUCUAUGAUGCUGAUCCGAAUGUUCUCACAGCUUUUUCAAAUUCAAAUGUUGAUUUCAUUAUUGGACUUGGAAAUGAAAAUCUUCAAAAUAUGGGUGACCCAGUUAAAGCUCAAAAUUGGAUUCAACAGCAUCUUCAACCUCACCUCCCUCAGACCAAAAUUACUUGCAUUACUGUAGGAAAUGAGGUCUUUGGUGGUUCUGAUAAUCAGUUGAUGUCUUAUCUUCUUCCUGCAAUGCAAACAGUUUAUCAUGCUCUUGUUACUCUCGGUCUCGAUAAGCAAGUUAUCGUAUCGAGUGCUCAUUCCUUAAACAUUUUAGGCAACUCGUACCCUCCUUCUGCCGGAACUUUUCGACAAGAUCUUGCUGAAUACAUUCAGCCUUUAUUGAGCUUUCAUUCUCAAGUCCGUUCGCCUUUUCUUAUCAAUGCGUAUCCUUUUUUCGCCUAUAAGAAUGACCCGAAACAGAUUUCUUUAGAGUAUGCCCUUUUUCAGCCUAACCAAGGGACAAUAGAUCCAAAUACUGGCUUGAAAUAUGAUAAUAUGUUGUAUGCUCAAGUUGAUGCUGUGUAUUCAGCAAUUAAAGCAAUGGGACAUACCGAUAUUGAAGUGAGAAUCUCGGAGACAGGUUGGCCGUCUAAGGGGGAUUCUGAUGAAGCAGGGGCUACACCAGAAAAUGCUGGUUUAUAUAAUGGAAAUCUUAUGAAAAUUAUACAGCAGAGACAAGGUACACCGGCAAAACCAUCAGUCCCCAUUGACGUAUUUGUUUUCGCCCUGUUUAACGAGGAUUUAAAGCCUGGACCGACAUCAGAAAGGAACUACGGACUCUUAUACCCUGAUGGUACUCCGGUAUAUAACACUGGAUUACAGCGUUAUCUUCCAGAGUUAACUUAUUCUUCGGCAUCCAAGAUAAAUGUUUUAUCAGUAUUCAGUCUGGUAAUCUAUGCUAUGGCAUGGUUAAUCUGUAUUCGUUGGUAGCGAAUUGUCACAAUACAACUAAAUUCUUGGAGAUUAUGGAAAUGCAGGAAGAGUUCUUUAAGGAAAAAAAUGACAGCAGGGGUCACUUGAGCAAUGGCAAAGCAUCUAUUUUACAAGUUUCUUUCUGUAUUAACAAAUAAACUAUUAGGAAUAAUUAAUCACUAACAAAUAUUGGAUUAGUUAUUAAUCUGUUGGUUACAAAAGUAUUAUAGAAAAUUAUAGGGAAUAUAUGGUCAACUAAGGUAGGCAGAUUAGCUAUUAUAAAAAAAUUAUAGAAGGAAUACAAUUCUUUGACAGUUGCUUAAUAAAGAAAAUUCACUUAUGAUUUUAUAAUUCAACUUCCUUUUUGUCUUUUCUGUUGUUAAUAAUAUAGAGUUGUAUUUUGUGGACCGUUCAAUAUAAUUUUGUUUGAGAGUUUCA